CAGGAACGGUUCCCAGCUCCUCAUUCAAAAUUCAAUCUUUCAGAGACAGAGAAUUUCGAAGGUCAAGGACGCCAUUAAGAUGAUCCUUUUAAGAACUCUCUUCUGGUCUCUGGGGCCUUUGUUUUAACUGAACCAAAAGUUUCAAAGAAAGUGUUUUAUGUAUAAUUUAUAUUCUUAAUUGUAAACACUUACCAUAUUGAUUAAUGAUGUAAUCGUCAUUACUUUGCUUGCUUUGUCUGUGUGGUGCAUGAACAUAAUACACUGAAUGUGGACUCUCAUGCCCCUGAUGAAUCCGUUGGUGUGGUAUCCUCCAGGUCUCUCUGGUUACUCCCCACCCAAUCUAUACAAAAAUACAUGUUUAGUUUUCUUCAUGGGUCUGUAUCAGACCAACUAGACUUAAUGACCAUAUUCCUUAAACAGAAAUUCAUCAAUUCUUGUUUUAACAGAGAAUAGCUUUGGUAUACUUGGUUGUGGCUCUAACAGAGACCAUGGCCACAAAGAGCAGUGGUAAGUGAAGUUUCAAACCCCCAACCAGGGAGUCAAGAGAAGAGCUUCAAUUAAGCUUAUUUCAUCUGGGUAAUUUGGGUUAAUUCCCAGGAUUGGAGGGUUCGUUGCAUUUCUCAUUUAUAUGGUCACAACAUACGCACUCUAUGUUCCUGACUGGAGUUUUGUUCAUGGAGGGAAAAGAUUUACACUAUGUGUCUAAUGGCAAUGGCCUCACAAAUGAAUUACGCUUUUUAGUUUCAAUUUCUUUCAGAUAAAGAUGAAGAUUGCCAGUAAUGAAACUGAGAUCACAGAAAAUUACAGGUGAAAUGUGGAUGAGCCGCAUGUAGUGCAGUGUGUUCAAUGCCAAAUGCAGCCUUGAUCUUACUGUGUAUUGCUAGUUCUAUUUCGGCCAUCCUUUCUGGUACCAUCGAAGCUCAUUAUGGGCAUGUUCUGAUUCACUUGAAGGUAUGUAAUUCAAUGGUUCUCUGCUCAGUCCUAUUAACCAUUUGUUUUUUGGUCGCAGUGAGCUGUGGUAGAAUUCCUAAUGCAUCUGAAAACCAUAUUUAAUACUUUUCUCAGUCCAAUUAACCUUACUUCCUCUAUCCGAAUUUCUAUGUACUUCUACAAUUGAACUUUGCUUUUUCAAAGGGUGAAUCCGAGAGGCUGAAGCAAUGGGUGUCUAUAGGGCUUAUUUUACUUGGCAUAGUCACUAUUCUUCAUCUUACAGAUGGUGAGGGACUGAGGUCCCUUGUUUUUAAGUAUCAUUUCUGAAAUGGCUGCAUUUUGAUACACCUGGUCUAGGGUCUUCCUUUUCUUUUAAUGUCUGCAUUCAUGCUUGUAGCUAGCUAUAUAUUCCUCUCAACAAAAAGCUGUACAGCUUUAGCUACGUUUGUUUCACAGCAGGUGCAGCUGGAAUUGUAUUUUCUGGGCUCUACAUCCUGUCAACAGAUUGAUGUUUGGGGUCUUCGAACUCCAUUUCUAGUCCUCGAAUGGAUUGGAAUGAAUGCAAUGCUAGUGUCUGUGAAGGCGCGCAGCACAAGGUAUCUUUGCAGCAUUCGUAAAUGGAUGGUAAUUAUGAAUACCCCUAAUAACUCUCUUACUGGCACUUUGAGAAGGAAGACUGCUGUAUGUGAUACGUGAUAUUUGCAGAGAUCACCUUCUGGGGAGUUAUUGCAGGCAUAUUGCACAAAUUGGGCAUCUACCGGAAGUUAUGAGAAGUGGGAAUUCAUAUCAAGCUGACCAACAUAUUGAUUGGUUGGUGGCGCAGUGGGUUCAUUGAAGAAGAAUCAGUGUAUUUGUAGAAGAAACAUAGGUUUCAUUUUCCUUAACCACUAAGUAAUUAAUUGUACGUUGCACUUCUCUGUAAUAUGUAUGCCAGUUGAAUUAUUCACUCUUCAGCUACUAUUUAAGGUAGAAGCAGGUGUUUGAUUGAGCUUCUGUUACAAGAUGUAUCUCUUCUUUGAUUUAUUGUUUACAUUUAAAUUC